AGUGAAGCGGGAAGAGCUCAAAUUUAAAAUCUGGCCGGGUUACCGGUCCGAGUUGUAGUUUAAAGAAGUGUUUUCGGCGGCAACCUGGGUACAAGUCCUUUGGAACAGGGCAUCAUAGAGGGUGAGAAUCCCGUCCAUGACUCAGUGGAUGCUGCUAUGUGAUACACUUUCAAAGAGUCGAGUUGUUUGGGAUUGCAGCUCAAAAUGGGUGGUAAAUUUCAUCUAAAGCUAAAUACAGGCGAGAGACCGAUAGCGAACAAGUACCGUGAGGGAAAGAUGAAAAGAACUUUGAAAAGAGAGUUAAACAGUGCGUGAAAUUGUUGAAAGGGAAACGUUUGGCACCAGUCAUGCGUUCAGGAAAUCAGUCUAUCGAGGUGGGGAGCUGCAGAGGUUUGGACCGCAAGGCCAGCUUUUGUUGCAUUUCUGCUUGGAUGGAUGCACUUUUCUGUAUGCAGGUCAACAUCAGUUUUGUUCGCCGGAAAAAACCUCAAGAGAAUGUGACAGCUUUGGCUGUGUUAUAGCUCUGGGGCGAUACGGUGGGUGAGACUGAGGCUUUCAGUGUGUGCUUUCGGGCAAGGCUGACCGGGUGCUGCGGGCCAGUACGAGGUACAAUACAUGUAUUUUGCUUCGUGUCUGGCUUGCACUCGCUCGAAUCGGCUCUUCCACGCUUAGGAUGUUGACAUAAUGGUUCUAAACGACCCGUCUUGAAACACGGACCAAGGAGUCUAACAUAUAUGCGAGUGUUUGGGUGGCAAACCCAUGCGCGUAAUGAAAGUGAACGUAGUGCGAUCCGCAAGGUGCAGCAUCGACCGAUCUUGAUAUUUUUGGAUAGAUUUGAAUAAGAGCAUAUAUGCUGGGACCCGAAGAUGGUGAACUAUUCCUGAAUAGGGUGAAGCGGGAAGAAACUCUGGUGGAGGCUCGUAGCGAUUCUGACGUGGCAAUCGAUCGUCAUUUUGGUAUNNGGGCNAAANACUAAUC
rnacentral:rRNA from 2 species